CGGCGGCCGCGGACCGGCCCAGAACGCGGCUGUGGGUUCUCACGGGAUUGGGGGACCCCGCAGGCCGACCUCUCCGGCUCCAGCUUCAGCGCAGAGCGGCUCCCGCCCACCGCGUCUCGGAAGGAGGUCCCAGAGCCUCUGCGUGAGUCCCCAAUUCUCCCGUUUGGCGCUCUGACCUUGCCUCCCUUAUUGACCUCAAGGCGGUGGAGACGGUACCAUUUUGAUGGAGGCGACUGACGUUUCCCAUUUUGCAUAUGAGGAAGCUGAAGGUGGACGAUGGAAAUAACUUGCCUGAGGGCACCAGCUGGUUACCAGGAACAGAAGCUCGUCCCUGGGUUCCAAGUCCAGGCUCUCUCCACCACAUUACCACUGCCCCUCCCCUCUAACGUGUUGACAUUCUGAGUGCCCUACAGCUAACUAUAGCACAACGGAGUGUUCCAGAGGCCACGUAACAUGUAAUAUGACCACAGAUUGAACAUAGAAGCAUUUAAGAGAAUCAGCAGUUUGUAUUAAGCAGAUAGUGAAGAAAUUUACCAAAUUGCGAAACAAAGCUUCUCCUUUCCUGACUUGCUUUUGUCCUGGAAAGUAUAAUUAUUUUCCAUUAAAAUGUGUAUAUUUAUAUACUCAAUGAGAUUAUUUUUAAAUGAAUUAAUUGAAAGGUUGAAAUGUUCUCGGUUUUACUUUCUGAUACGGUAAUUAUCGAUGGGGAGAACUCUCACUUUUCUAUGGUGUCAGAGGGCUUUGAGAAGAGCUGGCCUCCAGCAGCCUGGCUCUGCAGCUUCAUCGCUAGUGAUUUCCUCUCCUCGCUCAUACUUUUCACAUGAACAUCCAGCUCCAGACAAGAUGAAGCAGAUCCACUUUCUCCCUCUUCCUCUGGUUAAGUGCUUCCUAAAAUCCUGAACAUCACAGAUACAACAAACAUCUGAAAGGCAAAGCCAAGGCUAGGGACCUCAGGACUCAAGGAGUGACAUGGCACCAAGGUGGUAUCAGCAGAGACCUAGCGGGGUUGCUGAACUUCUGCUCUGGUCCAGCAAUAACGAGAUGUCCGCCACUCCGCAAGUGUCAACGGCUGCAUGGAGACCCUGGACUUUUAUCCCCACCUGGCGGUAGCCAGGAGGUCACCCUCCACCCCGCCCCGCCUGCCCCGGCAGAGCAGUAGGAAAGAGGCCCUGCUGAAACAGAUCAGUCUCACAACACAAUACCUGAAGUGUCCAAGAUGCAAUUUAAAAUCCCUCAUGAUGCCAAGAACCAGGAAAAUCUCAACUUGAAUGAGAAGAGAUAAUUAGCAGAUGCCAACACGGAGAUGACAGAGAUGUUGGAAUUAUCUGACAGGGAUUUAAAAACAACCGGCAUAAACAUGCUUCACUGAACAAUGAUAACAUUGCUUAAUAACUUAAAAUAAAAGAAUGAAUAGCAAGUCUCAGCACAGAAACAAAAGAUGGAAAGAAGGAUCAUACCGUCUGCUGCUGCUGCUAAGUCACUUCAGUCGUGCCCGUCUCUGUGUGACCCCACAGAC